rnacentral:tRNA from 1 species
GCAUUUGUGGUUCAGUGGUAGAAUUCUCAUUUUCAGUGUAGGAGACUUGGGUUCGGUUCUCAGCAAGUGCA